CACCCAUCCUUCGAAUUGGACCCAGACCCAUCUCUACCUCCAUGAACUACAUUCACGGCGGAUUCGUUUACCCGAACCGUUGCAAUCCCAUCGCCCGGAGGCUGCCACACCUCAGGCGGGUCCCCAUUAUUGGACCCACUGUCAGUGGCAUUCAAUCUCCCACUCCAAUUCCUACAAAAAUCCUUACUUGAAUUACGGCCACUUCUCCUAUUAUCCAAUGGUUGAGUACUAUUGUCAACGAAAUCACCACGCAGCGAGACAGGCUUGAAAGAAGG
rnacentral:misc_RNA from 1 species